GGGCUCCACUCAAAUCUGAGCCCCUCGUUCUCUGGUAGAGGAAAUCAAGACCCUUAGAAGUACAGUGACUGGUAAGGCCAUGGCGAGUGCAUAGCUGGAGUCACCUCUUCUGUCUUUGAUCCUUUGCUUAUUCUUCCCCUUUCAGGUGGCUAAUUUUCAAGCUAUGGACAGAGAUUUGCAGCAAUUCCCAGACUCUCCCUUCUCCCAUUUUAUCACUCUGGAACCUUCCCAGGGGUUUAUUAUCUGUGGAAUGAUGCCCAGUAUGAUGUCAUGAACGUCGUUGCUAGCAGAAUCCUGCAGGAAUCGAGAAAGUUCAAGUUGUAGCACAAAUGGCUUGGGGUCCAGAUGGAACUCACAGGAAACAAACGAAGGCUGUGAAAUCAUGCCUACUAGGACUGAAAAAUGCAAAGGUGCUUGAGGUUUUGCAGGUGCAAGAAGCACAGAUGAAAGGCCUCUCGGAAGUCCUCGGUCCACAGAGCACAGCUAGGCAAACCUCACCCAGCGACGCCAUCUGCAACAUGCAAGAGUUCAACUCUGAACGAUGAACAAAUUCUCCAUCCUGUUCAGUAAAGACAAAGCUCCGUGUACCCCAUGGCUUUGAGGGUGUGGAAAGCACCGUAUGGACAGAGACUAGAGGGAAGCCCAGAAAUAAAAACAGUUGUGUUAGAC
rnacentral:lncRNA from 1 species